CUGGUUGAUUCUGCCAGUAGUCAUAUGCUUGUCUCAAAGAUUAAGCCAUGCAUGUCUAAGUAUAAGCACUUUAUACUGUGAAACUGCGAAUGGCUCAUUAAAUCAGUUAUCGUUUAUUUGAUAGUACCUUACUACAUGGAUACCUGUGGUAAUUCUAGAGCUAAUACAUGCUGAAAACCUCGACUUCGGAAGGGGUGUAUUUAUUAGAUAAAAAACCAAUGCCCUUCGGGGCUCCUUGGUGAAUCAUAAUAACUUAACGAAUCGCAUGGCCUUGCGCCGGCGAUGGUUCAUUCAAAUUUCUGCCCUAUCAACUUUCGAUGGUAGGAUAGUGGCCUACCAUGGUGGCAACGGGUAACGGGGAAUUAGGGUUCGAUUCCGGAGAGGGAGCCUGAGAAACGGCUACCACAUCCAAGGAAGGCAGCAGGCGCGCAAAUUACCCAAUCCCGACACGGGGAGGUAGUGACAAUAAAUACUGAUACGGGGCUCUUUUGGGUCUCGUAAUUGGAAUGAGUACAAUCUAAAUCCCUUAACGAGGAACAAUUGGAGGGCAAGUCUGGUGCCAGCAGCCGCGGUAAUUCCAGCUCCAAUAGCGUAUAUUAAAGUUGUUGCAGUUAAAAAGCUCGUAGUUGAACCUUGGGUCUGGCUGGCCGGUCCGCCUCACCGCGAGUACUGGUCCGGCUGGACCUUUCCUUCUGGGGAAUCUCAUGGCCUUCACUGGCUGUGGGGGGAACCAGGACUUUUACUGUGAAAAAAUUAGAGUGUUCAAAGCAGGCCUUUGCUCGAAUACAUUAGCAUGGAAUAAUAGAAUAGGACGUGCGGUUCUAUUUUGUUGGUUUCUAGGACCGCCGUAAUGAUUAAUAGGGAUAGUCGGGGGCGUCAGUAUUCAGCUGUCAGAGGUGAAAUUCUUGGAUUUGCUGAAGACUAACUACUGCGAAAGCAUUCGCCAAGGAUGUUUUCAUUAAUCAGGGAACGAAAGUUAGGGGAUCGAAGACGAUCAGAUACCGUCGUAGUCUUAACCAUAAANNNNNNN
rnacentral:ncRNA from 1 species